rnacentral:rRNA from 1 species
GAUGAACGCUGGCGGCGUGCCUAAUACAUGCAAGUCGAGCGAACGGACGAGAAGCUUGCUUCUCUGAUGUUAGCGGCGGACGGGUGAGUAACACGUGGAUAACCUACCUAUAAGACUGGGAUAACUUCGGGAAACCGGAGCUAAUACCGGAUAAUAUUUUGAACCGCAUGGUUCAAAAGUGAAAGACGGUCUUGCUGUCACUUAUAGAUGGAUCCGCGCUGCAUUAGCUAGUUGGUAAGGUAACGGCUUACCAAGGCAACGAUGCAUAGCCGACCUGAGAGGGUGAUCGGCCUCACUGGAACUGAGACACGGUCCAGACUCCUACGGGAGGCAGCAGUAGGGAAUCUUCCGCAAUGGGCGAAAGCCUGACGGAGCAACGCCGCGUGAGUGAUGAAGGUCUUCGGAUCGUAAAACUCUGUUAUUAGGGAGGAACAUAUGUGUAAGUAACUGUGCACAUCUUGACGGUACCUAAUCAGAAAGCCACGGCUAACUACGUGCCAGCAGCCGCGGUAAUACGUAGGUGGCAAGCGUUAUCCGGAAUUAUUGGGCGUAAAGCGCGCGUAGGCGGUUUUUUAAGUCUGAUGUGAAAGCCCACGGCUCAACCGUGGAGGGUCAUUGGAAACUGGAAAACUUGAGUGCAGAAGAGGAAAGUGGAAUUCCAUGUGUAGCGGUGAAAUGCGCAGAGAUAUGGAGGAACACCAGUGGCGAGGGCGACUUUCUGGUCUGUAACUGACGCUGAUGUGCGAAAGCGUGGGGAUCAAACAGGAUUAGAUACCCUGGUAGUCCACGCCGUAAACGAUGAGUGCUAAGUGUUAGGGGGUUUCCGCCCCUUAGUGCUGCAGCUAACGCAUUAAGCACUCCGCCUGGGGAGUACGACCGCAAGGUUGAAACUCAAAGGAAUUGACGGGGACCCGCACAAGCGGUGGAGCAUGUGGUUUAAUUCGAAGCAACGCGAAGAACCUUACCAAAUCUUGACAUCCUUUGACAACUCUAGAGAUAGAGCUUUCCCCUUCGGGGGACAAAGUGACAGGUGGUGCAUGGUUGUCGUCAGCUCGUGUCGUGAGAUGUUGGGUUAAGUCCCGCAACGAGCGCAACCCUUAAGCUUAGUUGCCAUCAUUAAGUUGGGCACUCUAAGUUGACUGCCGGUGACAAACCGGAGGAAGGUGGGGAUGACGUCAAAUCAUCAUGCCCCUUAUGAUUUGGGCUACACACGUGCUACAAUGGACAAUACAAAGGGCAGCGAAACCGCGAGGUCAAGCAAAUCCCAUAAAGUUGUUCUCAGUUCGGAUUGUAGUCUGCAACUCGACUACAUGAAGCUGGAAUCGCUAGUAAUCGUAGAUCAGCAUGCUACGGUGAAUACGUUCCCGGGUCU